GCUCAGUGAUGAGAUCAAGGCAAGUGUGAGCUGACUGGCCAAAAGGCUGAGUGCUCGGCCUCCUGAUUGGUGGGUAAUCUUGGUAGGGAAGUGGAGAAUUGCUUCCCUGCUGUAAGGGCCCACCCACAUUAUACAAGCCCCGCCCCUAAUGCUCCCCAGGAGAGACAUGGGCGAGUUGGAGAGGGUGCUGACAGUGUGUGUGUGUGUGUGUGUGUGUGUGUGUAUGAGUCAGGAGGCUGGGAGAUGCUUGGCCUUGUUGACCAGUCUGCUGUGAUCAGCUUCUUUGGUAAUCUGAGGGCG